GAUGAACGCUGGCGGCGUGCCUAAUACAUGCAAGUCGAGCGAACAGACGAGAGUGCUUGCACUCUCUGACGUUAGCGGCGGACGGGUGAGUAACACGUGGGUAACCUACCUAUAAGACUGGGAUAACUUCGGGAAACCGGAGCUAAUACCGGAUAAUAUUUAGCUUCGCAUGAAGCAAUAGUGAAAGACGGUUCUGCUGUCACUUAUAGAUGGACCCGCGGUGUAUUAGCUAGUUGGUGAGGUAACGGCUCACCAAGGCAACGAUACAUAGCCGACCUGAGAGGGUGAUCGGCCACACUGGGACUGAGACACGGACCAGACUCCUACGGGAGGCAGCAGUAGGGAAUCUUCCGCAAUGGACGAAAGUCUGACGGAGCAAUGCCGCGUGAGUGAAGAAGGUUUUCGGAUCGUAAAACUCUGUUGUAAGGGAAGAACAAGUACGUUAGUAACUGAACGUACCUUGACGGUACCUGACCAGAAAGCCACGGCUAACUACGUG
rnacentral:rRNA from 1 species